rnacentral:antisense_RNA from 1 species
CGCUAUGGCGGCUGUGCGCGGGAUACCUUCGGGUAUGCCGAUGUUCUGGAGAGUCGGUCCGCGAACCUGCGUACAGCUGCCACCCCC